rnacentral:ribozyme from 14 species
AAAGGAGAACACCAACUCUUCUCUUGCCUUACUCUACCUUUUUUUUUCAUUUUUUUUUUUUUUUU